UACGGAGGAUCCAAGCGUUGUCCGGAUUUAUUGGGUUUAAAGGGUGCGUAGGCGGCUCUUUAAGUCAGUGGUGAAAGCCGACAGCUUAACUGUCGAAAUGCCAUUGAUACUGGGGAGCUUGAGUACAGUAGAGGUAGGCGGAAUUAAUGGUGUAGCGGUGAAAUGCAUAGAUACCAUUAAGAACACCGAUUGCGAAGGCAGCUUACUAUAGUGUAACUGACGCUGAGGCACGAAAGUGUGGGGAUCAAACAGG
rnacentral:rRNA from 1 species